rnacentral:rRNA from 1 species
AGAGUUUAAUCCUGGCUCAGGACGAACGCUGGCGGCGUGCCUAACACAUGCAAGUCGAGCGGAGACAGUGAGUAGCUUGCUAUGAGCUGUUUUAGCGGCGGACGGGUGAGUAACGCGUGAGCAACCUUUCCCAGACAGGGGAAUAACACACCGAAAGGUGUACUAAUACCGCAUAAGACCACGGGAUCACAUGGUUCUGGGGUAAAAGAUUUUAUCGGGUUUGGGGUGGGCUCGCGUCCGAUUAGGUAGUUGGUGAGGUAACGGCCC